rnacentral:ncRNA from 2 species
UUACGCCCCAUUGCAUCAGGUGUCCCACGAACAUUCGUUCACGGGAUGAAACGGGAAGUCGGUUAAAAUCCGACGCUGCCCCCGCAACGGUAAAUGAGUCAAACGACAACCCCCUGUCACUGCGGAUUCGCGGGAAGACGUUGUCGCCGGUUACGCCACUCAUGAGCCCGGAGACCGGCCUGACGCCUGCUGAUCGC